GCCGGGGUAGCUCAACGGUAGAGCGCUUGACUGUGGAUCAAGAGGCCGUGGGUUCAACUCCCACUCCCGGUA
rnacentral:tRNA from 1 species